AGCACCUCCUUUGUGCCAGCGACUGUGUGGGGUGCUGGGGUUACAAUGGUGAGUGAGGUAACCAUGAUUCCAGCUCUCAGGAAACCUAAUGACCAAAUGGGGAAGAUAGGUGACAGUGAUGGUGAUGACGAUGGCAAUGGUCAUGAUGGAGAUGAUGGUGAUGGUGAUGAUGGAGGUGAUGGUGGUAAUGGAGGUGGUGGCAAUGGUGAUGAUGGAGGUGAUGGAGGUGAUGGUGAUAAUGGAGGUGAUGGUGAUGGUGAUGACAGAGGUGAUGGUGGUAAUGGAGGUGGUGGCAAUGGUGAUGAUGGAGGUGAUGGAGGUGAUGGUGAUAAUGGAGGUGAUGGUGAUGAUGGAGGUGAUAAUGGAGGUGAUGGUGAUGAAGGAGGUGAUGGUGAUGGUGGUAAUGGAGGUGAUGGCGAUGGUGAUGAUGGAGGUGAUAGUGAUGAUGGAGGUGAUGGUGAUAAUGGAGGUGAUGGUGAUGAUGGAGGUGAUGGUGAUGGUGGUAAUGGAGGUGAUGGCGAUGGUGAUGAUGGAGGUGAUAGUGAUGAUGGAGGUGAUGGUGAUGAUGGAGGUGAUGAUGAUGGUGAUGAUGGAGGUGAUGGUGAUGAUGGAAGUGAUGGCAAUGGUGGUGAUGGAGGUGAUGGCAAUGGUGAUGAGGGAGGUGAAAUUCACAUCAUAUACAAUGAACCGUUUUAGAGUGUACAGUUCGG
rnacentral:lncRNA from 1 species